rnacentral:lncRNA from 1 species
GGCGCCUUUAAGGGCCUCCGUGGGCACGUUCUCGCUUCCAUUCGGUCCUCCUUUUGUUAACGCUCUGGCAUCAUGUCUACGCCAGCUCCCGCGCAAUCCGGCGCCAUCGCGCUUUGGGCGAGCAUGGCCAUGGGGAGUAGAGAGGUGGAAACCGAGCUGACGCCUGCCUGACCCUGGCGAUGGUGGCGCGCGCCGGGAAGGACUGAUUGGAGAAUGGCGCCAAAUGGGUAGGAACAGGUCGUGAUGUCCGCCGAAUGUUGUGUAGCAGGCGGGACAAAAGAGCGAUCUCAGGCCUCAUCUCGUCUCUUUUGUAGGUCACGGAUGGCGAGGGGGCACAGGAGCUCUCGAUGUGACCUGGCGCUGUGGAUGUGAUGCACAGCAGCUUGAGUGGGACUGCUCCGCUGUCCUCAUGAGAGAACGCUUUUUCUGAAGAUGGGAGGUGGCUAAUGAAAGAAGGAAUUGUGUUCUCGGUGAUGCCUGGAAGAGAUGCGUGACGUUGGAAGAUGAUUACGAAAUACAGGAAAGGUAAUUGGAGGAGUCUAGCCAGAAGGCCAGAAGCUUGGGACAUUGUCUUCAUCACUGUUAGCCACAUGCCUCUCUUGUGGGGGCAGUAACUUCGACAGGAGCUCUAGGGGUCCAGGAGACAUGAUCUAACGCCUACCAUCCCAUGUAGGUGGAAAUUACCACGCAUCAGGAAUGAAAUCAAAGGAUGUUUUUUGUAAGAGUAACACUUACAGAAAUAUUCAUUAAUUUGAAGAUUUAUAUAAGGCCUGGUGACCUCCGUUAAUUCCUGGGACCCACAGUGUGGAAGAAGAGACCUGACUCCUGAAAGUUGUCUUCUGACCACAUAUACACAAUAUGUAAAUAAAUGUAAUUAAAAAAUCAAAAUAGUAAAACUGAAA